CCGACGGUGAGGGAUGAAACCUAGGGGCACGAACCGGAUUAGAUACCCGGGUAGUCCCAGCUGUAAACUAUGCAAACUCAGUGAUGCAUUGGCUUGUGGCCAAUGCAGUGCUGCAGGGAAGCCGUUAAGUUUGCCGCCUGGGAAGUACGUACGCAAGUAUGAAACUUAAAGGAAUUGGCGGGGGAGCACCACAAGGGGUGAAGCCUGCGGUUCAAUUGGAGUCAACGCCAGAAAUCUUACCCGGAGAGACAGCAGAAUGAAGGUCAAGCUGAAGACUUUACCAGACAAGCUGAGAGGUGGUGCAUGGCCGUCGCCAGCUCGUGCCGUGAGAUGUCCUGUUAAGUCAGGUAACGAGCGAGAUCCCUGCCUCUAGUUGCCACCAUUACUCUCAGGAGUAGUGGGGCGAAUUAGCGGGACCGCCGCAGUUAAUGCGGAGGAAGGAAGGGGCCACGGCAGGUCAGUAUGCCCCGAAACUCUGGGGCCACACGCGGGCUGCAAUGGUAACGACAAUUGGUUUCGAAUCCGAAAGGAUGAGGUAAUCCUCAAACGUUACCACAGUUAUGACUGANGGCUGCAACUCGCCCUCACGAAUAUGGAAUCCCUAGUAACUGCGUGUCAUUAUCGCGCGGUGAAUACGUCCCUGCUCCUUGCACACACCGCCCGU
rnacentral:rRNA from 1 species